rnacentral:rRNA from 1 species
AUUGAACGCUGGCGGCAUGCCUUACACAUGCAAGUCGAACGGCAGCACGGGAGCAAUCCUGGUGGCGAGUGGCGAACGGGUGAGUAAUAUAUCGGAACGUGCCCGGUCGUGGGGGAUAACGUAGCGAAAGCUACGCUAAUACCGCAUACGAUCUACGGAUGAAAGCGGGGGAUCGCAAGACCUCGCGCGAUUGGAGCGGCCGAUAUCAGAUUAGGUAGUUGGUGAGGUAAAGGCUCACCAAGCCGACGAUCUGUAGCUGGUCUGAGAGGACGACCAGCCACACUGGGACUGAGACACGGCCCAGACUCCUACGGGAGGCAGCAGUGGGGAAUUUUGGACAAUAGGGCGCAAGCCUGAUCCAGCAAUGCCGCGUGCAGGAUGAAGGCCUCGG